AUUGAACGCUGGCGGCAGGCCUAACACAUGCAAGUCGAGCGAGCGGCGGACGGGUGAGUAAUGUCUGGGAAACUGCCUGAUGUAGGGGGAUAACUACUGGAAACGGUAGCUAAUCCCGCAUACCAUCAGAUGUGCCCAGAUGGUAUUAGCUAGUAGGUGGGGUAACGGCUCACCUAGGCGACGAUCCCUAGCUGGUCUGAGGGGAUGACCAGUCACCCUGGAACUGAGACACGGUCCAGACGCCUACGGGAGGCAGCGGUGGGGAAUAUUGCGCAAUGGGCGCAAGCCUGAUGUAGCCAAGCCGCGUGGGUGAAGAAGGCCUUCGGGUUGUAAAGCACUUUCAGCGGGGAGGCGUUACCCGAAGAAGAAGCACCGGCUAACUCCGUGCCAGCAGCCGCGGUAAUAC
rnacentral:rRNA from 1 species